rnacentral:sRNA from 1 species
ACGGGGAAGGAUGAGAAGCUUCGACCAAGGUUCGAUUCGAGCGCAGCGAGAAAGCGUUGCCGCAGGCAACGACCCGAAGGGCGAAGCGCGCAGCGCUGAGUCAUCCUUCCCCCACCACCA